rnacentral:rRNA from 1 species
UACGUAGGCAGCGAGCGUUGUUCGGAGUUACUGGGCGUAAAGGGUGUGUAGGCGGUUGUUUAAGUUUGGUGUGAAAUCUCCCGGCUCAACUGGGAGGGUGCGCCGAAUACUGAGCGACUAGAGUUCGGGAGAGGGAUGCGGAAUUCCAGGUGUAGCGGUGAAAUGCGUAGAUAUCUGGAGGAACACCGGUGGCGAAGGCGGCGUUCUGGACUGUCUCUGACACUGAAGAACGAAAGCCAGGGGAGCAAACGGG